UACGUAGGGUGCGAGCGUUGUCCGGAUUUAUUGGGCGUAAAGAGCUCGUAGGCGGUUUGUCGCGUCGGCCGUGAAAUCUCCACGCUUAACGUGGAGCGUGCGGUCGAUACGGGCAGACUUGAGUUCGGUAGGGGAGACUGGAAUUCCUGGUGUAGCGGUGAAAUGCGCAGAUAUCCGGAAGAACACCGGAGGCGAAGGCGGCUUGCUGGGCUCGGUCUGACGCUGAGGCGCGAAAGCGUGGGGAGCGAACAGG
rnacentral:rRNA from 1 species